CACCUGUAACUCACGUGACCCUGAUUAUUAUUGAAACGAGAACGAGGGCGUCGUGCCUUUAUAAGACUGCGUUAAUGUUUCCGUGGAGUUAUCCCUUCCGUUGUUGUUUAUUGCUUGUUAAACAUGGCGUCAUUUGCAAAGGUGGUUGUGUGUCUCCUCAUUGCUUGUGUCUGUAAUGCAUUCUGUUUUCCGAAGAGAGAUGUGAACUUUAAGGCCUCUGCAGUUGACCGCCAAAGUGAUGAUGUGGUUGUCACCACAACACCCGUUCCCCACAACCAGACCACAUCUGCCCAUACUUCAGCUGGUGGUGGUGCAAGUGAAGAUGCUGUGGCUACUACCCCAGCACCUAAUCCACACAACCAGACCACUUCUGCACAAACUGAAGUUACUGAUGGAGCCAGUGAAGAUGCUGUGGACCGCCAAAGUGAUGAUGUGGUUGUAGCCACAACACCCGAUCACCACAACCAGACACAACAAUCAAUCCAGACACAACAAUCUGCCCAUACUUCAGCUAGUGAUGGAGCAAGUGAAGAUGCUGUGGCUACUACCCCAACACUAAAUCCCCCAACUACAUCUGACCACACUGCAGCUACCGAUGAUGCAAGUGAGGGUGCUGUGGCUGCCCAAACUGGAACUACUGUAUCCCAUACGACUGAAGUCUGAUUCGACUGCUCCUCUGGUCACAAUGACCUGAGUCACUGUCUGGACUUUUUGCCUCUACAUGUUGACUGCAAUAAAGGACAGAUUUGUUUUUUGAAUCA
rnacentral:lncRNA from 1 species